rnacentral:rRNA from 1 species
GAUGAACGCUGGCGGCGUGCCUAAUACAUGCAAGUCGAGCGAACGGACGAGAAGCUUGCUUUUCUGAUGUUAGCGGCGGACGGGUGAGUAACACGUGGAUAACCUGCCUAUAAGACUGGGAUAACUUCGGGAAACCGGAGCUAAUACCGGAUAAUAUUUUGAACCGCAUGGUUCAAAAGUGAAAGACGGUCUUGCUGUCACUUAUAGAUGGAUCCGCGCUGCAUUAGCUACUUGGUAAGGUAACGGCUUACCAAGGCAACGAUGCAUAGCCGACCUGAGAGGGUGAUCGGCCACACUGGAACUGAGACACGGUCCAGACUCCUACGGGAGGCAGCAGUAGGGAAUCUUCCGCAAUGGGCGAAAGCCUGACGGAGCAACGCCGCGUGAGUGAUGAAGGUCUUCGGAUCGUAAAACUCUGUUAUUAGGGAAGAACAUAUGUGUAAGUAACUGUGCACAUCUUGACGGUACCUAAUCAGAGAGCCACGGCUAACUACGUGCCAGCAGCCGCGGUAAUACGUAGGUGGCAAGCGUUAUCCGGAAUUAUUGGGCGUAAAGCGCGCGUAGGCGGUUUUUUAAGUCUGAUGUGAAAGCCCACGGCUCAACCGUGGAGGGUCAUUGGAAACUGGAAAACUUGAGUGCAGAAGAGGAAAGUGGAAUUCCAUGUGUAGCGGUGAAAUGCGCAGAGAUGUGGAGGAACACCAGUGGCGAAGGCGACUUUCUGGUCUGUAACUGACGCUGAUGUGCGAAAGCGUGGGGAUCAAACAGGAUUAGAUACCCUGGUAGUCCACGCCGUAAACGAUGAGUGCUAAGUGUUAGGGGGUUUCCGCCCCUUAGUGCUGCAGCUAACGCAUUAAGCACUCCGCCUGGGGAGUACGACCGCAAGGUUGAAACUCAAAGGAAUUGACGGGGGCCCGCACAAGCGGUGGAGCAUGUGGUUUAAUUCGAAGCAACGCGAAGAACCUUACCAAAUCUUGACAUCCUUUGACAACUCUAGAGAUAGAGCCUUCCCCUUCGGGGGACAAAGUGACAGGUGGUGCAUGGUUGUCGUCAGCUCGUGUCGUGAGAUGUUGGGUUAAGUCCCGCAACGAGCGCAACCCUUAAGCUUAGUUGCCAUCAUUAAGUUGGGCACUCUAAGUUGACUGCCGGUGACAAACCGGAGGAAGGUGGGGAUGACGUCAAAUCAUCAUGCCCCUUAUGAUUUGGGCUACACACGUGCUACAAUGGACAAUACAAAGGGCAGCGAAACCGCGAGGUCAAGCAAAUCCCAUAAAGUUGUUCUCAGUUCGGAUUGUAGUCUGCAACUCGACUACAUGAAGCUGGAAUCGCUAGUAAUCGUAGAUCAGCAUGCUACGGUGAAUACGUUCCCGGGUCU